CAAUCAUUUACUCCUGUUUCUUUACACAAAACACAGUGGGAUCAGACCUGAUAACACAGGAAAUGCACAUACACAUUUUGGCCCCAGGUUGGGCAUUUCUGGAGAGUCUGGGAAAGGCCAGGCUGGUCUUACAAAUACUCUUAUGCCAGCAGUGGGUGGGGGAAGCAAGUAGGAGAGUAGGUGACCGGUAGGCUCUGGAGUCAGCAGGCCUUGUUCUGUUUGUGUUGUGCUGCAGUGGGGGAUGCAUUAUAAAUGCAGCCAGUCAGAGGGCCCCUGGCUUCAGAACCUCAGACGGUACUGAUUCCGAGAUUCUGUGCAAGCCUCAUGGAAAUGAAGCUGCCAGGCCAGGAGGAGUUUGAAGCCUCCAGUGCUCCUAGAAAUAUUCCUUCAGGGGAGCUGGACAGCAACCCUGGCCCUGGCACCGGCCCCAGCCCUGAUGGCCCCUCAGACACAGAGAGCAAGGAACUGGGAGUACGCAAAGACCCUCUGCUCUUCAUUCAGCUGAAUGAGCUGCUGGGCUGGCCCCAGGCACUGGAGUGGAGAGAGACAGGCAGGUGGGUACUGUUUGAGGAGAAGUUGGAGGUGGCUGCAGGCCGGUGGAGUGCCCCUCAUGUGCCCACCCUGGCACUGCCCAGCCUCCAGAAGCUCCGCAGCCUGCUGGCCGAGGGCCUUGUACUGCUGGACUGCCCAGCUCAGAGCCUCCUGGAGCUUGUGGAGCAGGUGACCAGGGUGGAGUCGCUGAGCCCAGAGCUGAGAGGGCAGCUGCAGGCCUUGCUGCUGCAGAGACCCCAGCAUUACAACCAGACCACAGGCACCAGGCCCUGCUGGGGCUCUACUCAUCCAAGAAAGGCUUCUGACAAUGAGGAAGCCCCCCUGAGGGAACAGUAUCAGAACCCCCUGAGACAGAAGCUGCCUCCAGGAGCCGAGGCAGGGACUGUGCUGGCAGGGGAGCUGGGCUUCCUGGCACAGCCACUGGGAGCCUUUGUUCGACUGCGGGAUCCUGUGGUACUGGGGUCCCUUACUGAGGUGUCCCUCCCAAGCAGGUUUUUCUGCCUUCUCCUGGGCCCCCCUAUGCUGGGAAAGGGCUACCAUGAGAUGGGACGGGCAGCAGCUGUCCUCCUCAGUGACCCGCAAUUCCAGUGGUCAGUUCGUCGGGCCAGCAACCUUCAUGACCUUCUGGCAGCCCUGGAUGCGUUCCUAGAGGAGGUGACAGUGCUUCCCCCGGGUCGGUGGGACCCAACAGCCCGGAUUCCCCCGCCCAAAUGUCUGCCAUCUCAGCACAAAAGGCUUCCCUCGCAACAGCGGGAGAUCAGAGGUCCCUCCGGCCCGCGCCUGACCUCGGCUGAGGACAGGCACCGCCAUGGGCUGCACGCACCCAGCCAGGAGUUGCAGCGGACUGGCAGGCUGUUUGGGGGCCUUAUCCAGGACGUGCGCAGGAAGGCCCCAUGGUACCCCAGCGAUUUCUUGGACGCGCUGCAUCUCCAAUGCUUCUCGGCGGUACUCUACAUUUACCUGGCCACUGUCACUAAUGCCAUCACUUUCGGGGGUCUGCUGGGAGAUGCCACUGAUGGUGCCCAGGGAGUGCUGGAAAGUUUCCUGGGCACAGCAGUGGCAGGAGCUGCCUUCUGCCUGAUGGCAGGCCAGCCCCUCACCAUCCUGAGCAGCACUGGGCCGGUGCUGGUCUUUGAGCGCCUGCUCUUCUCUUUCAGCAGAGAUUACAGCCUGGACUACCUGCCCUUCCGCCUAUGGGUGGGCAUCUGGGUGGCUACCUUUUGCCUGGUGCUGGUGGCCACAGAGGCCAGUGUUCUGGUGCGCUACUUCACCCGCUUCACUGAGGAAGGUUUCUGUGCCCUCAUCAGCCUCAUCUUCAUCUACGAUGCUGUGGGCAAAAUGCUGAACUUGACCCAUACCUAUCCUAUCCAGAAGCCUGGGUCCUCUACCUACGGGUGCCUCUGCCAAUACCCAGGCCCAGGAGGAAAUGACUCUCAGUGGAUAAGGACAAGGCCAAAAGACAGAGACGACAUCGUAAGCAUGGACCUAGGCCUGAUCAAUGCAUCCUUGCUGCCGCCACCUGAGUGUACCCAGCAGGGAGGCCAGCCUCGUGGCCCUGGCUGUCAUACAGUCCCAGACAUUGCCUUCUUCUCCCUUCUCCUCUUCCUUACUUCUUUCUUCUUUGCUAUGGCCCUCAAGUGUGUAAAGACCAGCCGCUUCUUCCCCUCUGUGGUGCGCAAAGGGCUCAGCGACUUCUCCUCAGUCCUGGCCAUCCUGCUGGGCUGUGGCCUUGAUGCUUUCCUGGGCCUAGCCACACCAAAGCUCAUGGUGCCCAGAGAGUUCAAGCCCACACUCCCUGGGCGUGGCUGGCUGGUGUCACCUUUUGGAACCAACCCGUGGUGGUGGAGUGUGGCAGCUGCCCUGCCUGCCCUGCUGCUGUCUAUCCUCAUCUUCAUGGACCAACAGAUCACAGCGGUCAUCCUCAACCGCGUGGAAUACAGACUGCAGAAGGGAGCUGGCUUCCACCUGGACCUCUUCUGUGUGGCUGUGCUGAUGCUACUCACAUCAGUGCUUGGACUGCCUUGGUAUGUCUCAGCCACUGUCAUCUCCCUGGCUCACAUGGACAGUCUUCGGAGAGAGAGCAGAGCCUGUGCCCCUGGGGAGCUCCGCAACUUCCUGGGUAUCAGGGAGCAGAGGCUGACAGGCCUGGUGGUGUUUAUCCUUACAGGAGCCUCCAUCUUCCUGGCACCUGUGCUCAAGUUCAUCCCAAUGCCUGUGCUCUAUGGCAUCUUCCUGUAUAUGGGGGUGGCAGCACUUAGCAGCAUUCAGUUCACUAAGAGAGUGAAGCUGUUGUUGAUGCCAGCAAAACACCAGCCAGACCUGCUACUCUUGAGGCAUGUGCCUCUGACCAGGGUCCAUCUCUUCACAGCCAUCCAGCUUGUCUGUCUGGGGCUACUUUGGAUAAUCAAGUCUACCCCUGCAGCCAUCAUCUUCCCCCUCAUGUUGUUGGGCCUUGUGGGGGUCCGAAAGGCCCUGGAGAGGGUCUUCUCACCACAGGAACUCCUCUGGCUGGAUGAGCUGAUGCCAGAGGAGGAGAGAAGCAUCCCUGAGAAGGGGCUGGAGCCAGAACACUCGUUCAGUGGAAGUGACAGUGAAGAUGUGAGCUCCAGGCUGGGUCCUCUCAGGAGAGUGUGUCGGGGUUUGGGAGAGCGUUCUUGUCCAGGAGCUGUCCCUAAAUAAUAUCUCCAUUAAGCCUGCAGAUCUGAUCAACAGUCACUUCCCUUAGCUGGGUAUGGACACAUAGGCAGACCGAAGGGGUGAAGGAAAUCUUUCUUCAUAGGACAGGGGCCCUUGAUGUGGGUGGAAAGGGCUGAGGCUUCAGCUCAAGUGGGCUGUCUUUCUCAACUCUGAUCUUUGUUUUGUCUCACUGUGGGUUUAUAUCCGGUCAGUGGGUCCCUUCCUCUAUGUUGUCUCUCACUAUCUGUCUUUCUAUCUAUUCUCAAUCCAUCUUGGGAUCUGUCUUCCACAGUCAGAGCUGAUGUAUCAGCCAAAGGCUCCAGAAAUCAACAUUUCUGUGAAUUAGCUGGAGUAGGAGUCUGGGAGUGGAGACCCCAGGAAACAGCAUGAGUUCACAGGUGCUUAUUCAGGAAGUCAGGACACUUUUGGCCUUUGGCUUAACUUCCAGAUGCUCAGUCGGCUUGGGGAAGGACUGAAGGGCAGCUGCCAAGACCUCAGUUACCUCCUGACCUGAGGGUGGAGAGUGGCAGGAAGCAAGCAUGUUUGCUGUGCAUUUAGGAAAGGCUGGUGAGCCAGAGGGACGGAUCAGGCCCCAUUCACUCUCUACUCAUUAAAAGGUCCUGAGCCACGAA